UGGACAGGCGGAGGCGGCUCGCAUUGUCUUUAUGCUAAUACUUUAACUCUCUCUUCGCCCCUCUUUCCAACGCUCACUUAUAAAGUGAGGAUGCGAGGUACGAGUUCCGUGUGAGAUUUAAGCAGCAUCUCCCCACCGCCAAACCUCACCCUCCCCUCCCCACUCGCCCCCCUCCACCAUCACCCAAUGCGAGCGACCGGAGAGUGGGGUCGGUCAUGAGUUGUCUGGAUGUUAUGUAUCAUCAGUCUUAUGGGGCGCACCAGUACUUACCAGCAGCCGCCGCAGCAGCUUACACCGCAGCCUGUUACCAUCACCACCACUCUCAGCAGCAGAAGUUAGCCCUGUACAGCAAGAUGCAGGAGUCGAUGGAGAACAACUCGCCGAGCAAAGAGAGCGAGAAGGAGCAGCCUCCUGAGGCCGAGUACAUCAGUUCCAGAUGUGUGCUGCUCACCUACUUCCAGGGGGACAUCGGCGCGGUGGUGGACGAGCAUUUCAGCAGAGCCCUCAGCCAGUCCAGCAACUUCCACGGUGACCAUCCGAGCUCAAAGCCCCAGGCUUCUUCCAGCUCCGUGUGGAAAGAAGGAUCGCCAUUUCCUACAAAUCAGAAGAACAGUUUUCCUGCUUCUUUCUGGAACAGCACUUACCAAGCCCCAGCACCUCCAGCUCUUAGUGCGAGUCACCCCGAUAUCUCUGCUGCGUCUGGUGCUGUGUUUCACUCCCCAGACCCCAUGGCUUGGCCUGGACAUGGACUACACCAGGCCAGCGCUCCCCCAUCAAAUGCUGAGCCAUGGCCUUACACAUUGGCAUCACAAGGCAGUUCCAGCUAUCCACUUGUGCAUGAGGUUUACCCACAUAUGCACCACCCACAUGCCCACACCCACCAUCAUAGCCCACAUCUCGACCCACGUUAUGGGUCAUUGUUGGUACCAUCAGUGAGGGCAGCUAGGAUUACCACAGCACCAGGUGAGAUCACAAAGACAGACCCUACUGCUUCUGCUGCUGGUUCUUCAUGGACUGGAGCCUUUCAUGGAACGCUUGAGAUGGCACAGGCUGUGAACUUUGAUACAGUACAUGUGUUAUGCAAAGAAGAUAGGUGACCAUCAUGCAGGAACUAAUAGAAUUCAGAGGAAAAGGAACAAAGCAAUAGAUUUUUUGGAGGUUUCUAAAGCCCUUUGGUAUGGUGGAUCUCUCACAGGCUGAUGAAAAAACACAUCCCUGCAAUCUGAUGGAAUGAAAAUGAUGACCCAGAUUAUUUGCUUUUGACCAAUUAUCUUCAAGAACUGUUAUGAUGGAAAAUAAAGGGGAUUCUAUGAGAAUUUACCCUGAACAAUCUGGCAAAAUGUUUGAGGGAAAACAAAAAAUAAAUUUGUAGAACUUAUGUUGAUCUAAGUAAAAGUAAUGAAGUGAAUCACUAAUUAUUGUUUCAUCAAGAUAACAGGGCUACCUAUUUUCAACAUCCCACUAUGGGUUUCAUAGCCUGAAUUAUGUAGAAUUUGAUGGCUUUAGAGGAUGAUUAGUACAAUGUGUUGGGUGAAGAUCUGCUUCAAGUAAAUUUUAUGAGGGUGAAGCACUGGGUGGAAAAUUGCAUUAGGCACAACAGAAAUAUUCUUUUAUUUUUGUGGUUAAAAAAAGUAUGUGAAGUAUUGGAGUUUUUUUUAUAACUGUCUAUUACUCUGAUCUUGUUAAAAUGUAAUGUGACUCUACCAGGGAUUUAUGCAUUUUUCUUGUUUUCUUACUUAUUUAAGUAUAGUUAACCAUUUGUGGACUGCAGUAGCACUUUUACCAUGUCCUAAAUUACAUGCAGGUUUAAAGUCCUUUUAUUUCAUUUAGUCUGCUGUAGUGGCAUGCUCAGUGGGUCUACAUUUUGUUGGCAUUCAGCAUUUUGAUUUAUCGACUAUGUUAUUGCAAAAAAAAUAAAUUAUAGAAAAAAGUAUUUCUCUGGAAUUAAGAUGACAUUUUAGUGAAACCAAAGAGAAAAAAAGAGAGCAGUGUUUUAUAAAGUAUUCUCCAUCUUUAGAACAUAAAAGUCUUUCUGUUCAGAUUCUAUGAGGGUAUUUUAUUUAGAAAAGUUAAAUGGUUGAUAAUUGUAAAAUGGAAUGGUUGAUAAAUUUGGCAUUCAUUUUUAAUGUUUUAUGGCAUGCACCAAAAGGAAAAUGUCGUUGCAUCUUUUAGAUGCUAAUAGAACUUUCAAUCCUUUUAAUUUCCUUAUUUUAAGCCUUUAAUUGUUCUAUCGUAAUAAGUUUUAUUUUGGCCUAGUUGUAAAAUGGAACUUUUUUACUUUACUCUAACAAUUAAAAAAAAACUCUUUGGUGACAAGUUUGAAAGCUAUACUAAAUAUCCUGUAGGAAGGUGAUAAAAGUUGCUCUCAAUCCAUAGGACACAUCAUUUCGUAUUUGAGGUUGUAUUUAGUCAGAGGCUAUCUUAAAGCAGAUCUAUCAGAUCACAUUGAAAACCACAUUGGAUAUCAUAAAAAAGCAAUGCACUCACGACUCGUCUGCUCUGUAAUAAAAUACAAAUUGUAAGUAGUUCUGAAGGGGGUGAAUGAGGCUUCACAUUCUCCCAACAGUGUACGACGUGGAAACAUUAUCAUCUACUAUCAAUUUCGAAAGUUUUUUUUUAAUUGGACGUUGUUCUGCUUUUUAAAUGGAAUCAGGAUUCUGUGUUGAAUAUAUUCUUUCCAAGAUGUUACAUAUAUUGUUCUCUGUUUAUAAUAAAAAUGCGUAAAGUGAGGCAAAAACCAUGGGAAAAUUUUGUCGCAAUUUUCUCUCAGUGAAUUUGUUUCAUUAUUAUUUGUACAGUAAACUGUAAAACUCAUUGAUGUUAAUAAAAAGAAUACUUGCUGAAAGCAUUGCUCACAA